rnacentral:rRNA from 1 species
UACAGAGGUCCCAAGCGUUGUUCGGAUUCACUGGGCGUAAAGGGUGCGUAGGCGGUCGGGUAAGUCUGACGUGAAAUCUUCAAGCUCAACUUGGAAACUGCGUCCGAUACUAUUCGGCUAGAGGAAUGGAGGGGAGACUGGAAUACUUGGUGUAGCAGUGAAAUGCGUAGAUAUCAAGUGGAACACCAGUGGCGAAGGCGGCUAUCUGGCCUGCAACUGACGCUGAGGCACGAAGGCUAGGGGAGCGAACAGG